rnacentral:rRNA from 1 species
CCCUUAGAUGUUCUGGGCCGCACGCGCGCUACACUGAUGCAUUCAACAAGUUCUACCUUGGCCGAGAGGCCUGGGAAAUCUUUCAAAUAUGUAUCGUGAUAGGGAUAGAUUAUUGCAAUUAUUAAUCUUGAACGAGGAAUUCCUAGUAAAUGCAGAUCAUCAUUCUGCGUUGAUUACGUCCCUGCCCUUUGUACACACCGCCCGUCGCACCUACCGAUUGAAUGAUCCGGUGAAGCCUCGGGAUUGCGCCCAGAGAACUUUAUUGUGAUUUGGGUGUGAGAACUUGUCUAAACCUUAUCAUUUAGAGGAAGGUGAAGUCGUAACA